CUGACGAGCGGCUGUGAACAAUGGUUGUGUGAGUAGGUGAAGAGCCUGAGAAGUUUUAAUUGUCUGCUACACAAACAGUUGUUUUAAACCUCUACAGCAGAGGUUCGAGUAGUGAUUUUUAGAAGACAAGCCAAGAUAAGCCAGGUGUGCAGCAAACACAGUUGUCUGCUGGAGGACAGGCUGCACAUGUGAAUUUGUCACUGUUUUUUCCUCCUCCUCUUUUUGUUGCGUUUUUGGUUUUAGUAGGGUCACCUUUUAAAACUGUUUGUUUUUUAUGCUGGGUUUGUUUUUAUUUCUACUGGGCUGGUGCAAUAUUAGUCGGACAACGUGCAAUCCCUGAGCUGGGCUCUUACCUUAGGGGAAUUAGGUCUUUUAGAGGUGCUCCGUGUGGAUUUGCUGUGAACAAGUUUUAUUAAGAGUGAUUUUAGUGCCACCGAUUAUUGCCUGGACUAAAACACUUAGUGCAUGCGAUAAGUGUUCUGUUGGGCUCGUAUUUAUUUGGGGUGGAUUUCUUUCUUUUAAAGUAACGAGCAUCUGGGACCACCGGGGUAGAGCAAGCCCUCAGGUGAUAGCUGCAUUGCUGGCAGGUUGCACCAAUAAAACUAUACUGCAGUCGUUAGUGACUUUUUCUCUAUUUUGAUGUUUUAGGCCUUUUACAAACCCCUUGUGUUUUCUUUUAAAAUAAUAAAUUUUGACAUAUUUGACUGAUAUUGACCCUCUUGUCCCGUUUAUUCUGGGCUCGUUCCUGUAAGAGCUUUGGGCCUGAAAGUUUGCACAAGUCGUAUAGAGGCCCUUAGCGAACACUCGGUGGCUUUUAC